AUCUAAUUAGUUUAUAAAAAUAUUAAAUUGUGGAUUUAAAGAUGAGUAUUCAUUAGAUA
rnacentral:tRNA from 1 species